AAACAUUUUUAAGUUAAAGUGUUUAUUUAUAUUUAAUUAGCUAUUUAAGUUUAGGUUUUAUAUUAAGAGUAUAGACGACUUCCAGAAAAUCUUCUGGUGAUUAGUAUUUCAUUAGUUAGAAGAUUUACCUGAAAGUCUUCUAACUCCCGCAAAAAAUAUUUUAGUUUCUAGAAAGUCUUUUAGGAAAUCUUCUACUAGAAGACUUACUUGAAAGUCUUGAAGUCUUCUACUAGAAGACUUACUUGAAAUUCUUCUAUUAGAAGACCUAAUUGAAAGUUUUUUGAAUCGACAAAAUUUAAUCUUAUUAAAAAUUUUGUCUCCCUUUAUAAAGAAAAUUUACACAUUCUCUUUCUUCUUCUCAAAUGAUUGCAACAAAAAUGUAACGUUUCUCAUUCUAAAACUCUCAAACCUCUCUCUAAUCUCUUUGAACUUUAAAAUACCAAACUUAUAUCAAUUUAUAGUUAUUUCAUGUCUUCUCAUUGAUUUGUUUUGUUUUUACAAGUUUUUCAUUACAUGGUUCUCAUCUUCCACUCUUUUAAAGGUAGAUCUAUAAAUCAUAUUUUCUUAUUUGGUAACCUACUGUUGUUUAAAACUCUUACUUUUGAAAAAUUCUUUUGGUUGUUUUAAGCUCUUACCUUAUUUUUGAAAUUUUUCUAUGUUUUGAAGCCAUUUGAGACAGACUUGAAAAACUUUCAAGGAAGUCUUCUCGGAAGUCUUCUAACAUUUAAUGCACUAGACGACUUCCUGGAAGUCUUCUGGCAAAGUCUUUUUCCAUGUCAAGUGGAAAGCUUGUCUUUGUGGAGGAAUGAACUAUACUCCCUCUGUUUCAUAUUAAGUGUCACUUUAGCUCAGUUUUUCUUGUUUUACAAAGAAUGUCAUUCUACAAUACCAAUGCAAUUUAUACAACCUUUCAGCUCAACAUUAAUUGCAAAAUGCAUUGAUUUUAUAAAUAAAUUGAAUUAUCUAAAAUACUAUUGGUUAAAUAUGUGAUAUUAAUGAAAACAUAAAUACAUUUUAAUGAACUCCUUAAUAUGUGUGAAAAUUGUCUAAGUGACACUCUUUGUGAAACAGAUGGAGUAAUAGUUUUGUUUAUGGUAUGUUUUGUAAUUUACAUGUGUACUCUUUUAGUUGUGAAUUCUUUUGUAAAUUUGAAAAAUUAUUAAUAAAAAGAUUAGGUAAAUAUGUUCAUGUUUACAAUAUUGUCUUGCCAAAAGUAUUUGACAUUAUUGAAGUUAUUGAUACAAUUUAAAUAGAAAACACAAUAACACAAAAAAUAGUCAAAUUUACUACAACUAAU